rnacentral:rRNA from 1 species
UACGGGAGGCAGCAGUGGGGAAUAUUGCACAAUGGGCGAAAGCCUGAUGCAGCUAUGCCGCGUGUAUGAAGAAGGCCUUAGGGUUGUAAAGUACUUUCAUCGGGGAGGAAAAAACAAAACUAAUAAUUUUAAUUUCUUGACGUUACCCGAAAAAGAAGCACCGGCUAACUCCGUGCCAGCAGCCGCGGUAAUACGGAGGGUGCUAGCGUUAAUCAGAAUUACUGGGCGUAAAGAGCACGUAGGUGGUUUUUUUAAAGUCAGAUGUGAAAUCCCUGGGCUUAACCUAGGAACUGCAUUUUGAAACUGAAAUACUAGAGUAUCGUAGAGGGAGGUAGAAUUCUAGGUGUAGCGGUGAAAUGCGUAGAUAUCUGGAGGAAUACCUGUGGCGAAAGCGGCCUCCUAAACGAAUACUGACACUGAGGUGCGAAAGCGUGGGGAACAAACAGGGAUUAGAUACCCUA